rnacentral:tRNA from 1 species
UCUAAUAUGGCAGAAUAGUGUAAUGGAUUUARSCCCCAUAUAUAAGGUUUAMCCUUUUUUUGGAAA